GACGAACGCUGGCGGCGUGCUUAACACAUGCAAGUCGAACGAAGUGGCGAACGGGUGAGUAACGCGUAAUCAACCUGCCCUUCAGAGGGGGACAACGGUUGGAAACGACUGCUACUACCGCAUACUGAAGGAGGGGAUUGCGUCGGAUUAGCUAGUUGGAGGGGUAACGGCCAACCAAGGCGAUGAGCAGUCGCCGGUCUGAGAGGAGGAACGGCCACACUGGGACUGAGACACGGCCCAGACUCCUACGGGAGGCAGCAGUGGGGAAUAUGGGACAAUGGGCGAAAGCCUGAUCCAGCCAUGCCGCGUGUGUGAAGAAGGUCUUCGGAUUGUAAAGAACUUUAAGUAGGGAGGCGUUACCAACAGAAUAAGCACCGGCUAACUUCGUGCCAGCCGCCGCGGUAAUUC
rnacentral:rRNA from 1 species